rnacentral:lncRNA from 1 species
UAGCUUUCAGCUUGGACCAGGCUCUUGCUGCAGAUUUUGAGAAGGAGUUGUGCCCUGGAAACGUGCAGAUGAAAAUGAAAAGAAAAUGUCAUCAUGGUCAGCCAGUCAGAGUCAACCACAGCUAAAGAAAUUUAUCCACAUAAACAAUUUCCAGUAAUGGUCUCAGCUCGUACGAGGCUCCUGUUGUAAAUUGACAACAAGCUGUUCUUUCCAGAAGGAGGAGUGCAGAAGAAAAUGAAAAGAAAACGUCAUCAUGGUCACUCUAUUCACAUAAAAAAAAUCCAAUAAUGCUCCUGGUUGGUGUCUAGAUUUCAGCUAGUACCAGGCUCUUGCUGUAGAUUGACAACAAGCUGCUCUUUCGAGAAGGAGGCAUACAGAAAAUGAAAAGAAAACGUCGUCAUGGUCAGCAGAGGCGGCGACAGAGGCAGCGGCAGCAGCAGCGGGAGCAGGAACACCAACUGCAGCAGCAGCGUCAGCAGGAGCAGCAGCAGCAACGCCAGCAGGAACAUCAGCAGCAGCAGCAGCUGCAGCUGCAGCUGCAGCAGCAGUGCCAGCAGCAUCAGCAGCAGUGCCAGCAGGCACAGCUGCAGCAGUGCCAACAGGCACAGCAGCAACAGCAGCAGCGUCAGCAGGAGCAGCAGCAGCAGCAGCAGCAGCAGCAGCAGCAGCAACCACAAAGAAGAAGGAGAAAAAACAGGAGGAGCAGGAGGAGCAGGAAGAGCAAGAAGAGCAAGAGGACAAGGAGGACCAGGAACACCAGGAGGAGGAGAAGGAGAAAUAAUGAGUGAUUGUGUCUACAUUUAUGGAAAGAGUUUGGUGGGGUACUAAUGUUGCAUCUUUGAAGAAAUGGGUACUCAAAGAAAUCCUCAUGUAGAGUCACACUGUGCUGUCAUCUGAGACUUCAAGUUCAUUACUGAAUCCAUGCUUCCUCUUCGCAUCGUGAGAAGAUCACUACAGAAGCAUAUCACCACACUUAGCUAGUGGUAUUGUAAAAUCUCUUCAUCAAUGACUUUCAUUUUUGCUUGCUUGUUUAUAAAAAUUUGAAUGAAACAUUUAUAUUUUCUCAUUUUCUACAAUUUUCCUUAAAUCACCUUUACAUCUAACCAUAUUUUUUAUUACUUGCCAUAUUUUUAAUUACAAUAAGGUAUUUA